UUCUUCAACAAAAUUGUCCUGUGGUUCUCAAUUCCCUCCUAUUUCACUGCUCAUCUUUUCUGUAAUAAAACAUUGUCUUAUUGCAAUAUCACACUGCUCUCCAGAGUGCAAGGAUUGAUUGACAACAUUUCUAAUGCAAGUCAAGACCUGCCACCAGACCCAGAACUUUUCACAUUGUUGGCAUAAUAACAAGGCCUGAGGCUUCCUGACACAUGUUUGCACUGUGCUCCAUUUUGAACCAAACAAAAUCAUCAUCCCUUUGCUCUUUACUCUGUUUGUCCACACUGGUGUAAUUUGAUUUGGAACAUGCAGGACUGAGAAACAUCUACCACAACAGGAAGAGAACUGCCUCACUUUAAUUGUUUGCACCGUGGAAGUUAAAAGACCCUGCCCUUCUCAAACUUGCCUUAAACGUGCCAGUGUAGUUAUUGAAUGCUGAAAAAUAGCUUGGUACAUAAUAACAAAGCAAACUAAUUUCAGAACUAAGCACAGCAGUGGAUAUAACCUAUUAUCAUAACUCUGUUUAAAUGGAAAGAUCCUGUGUCCCACGAUGUAUUUACACAAAAUGGAUAAGUACAUUGAAGAUGUCUUCCCAGAGCAUUUUCUCAGGACUCAGCUUCAUCUCGGGGCUUAUCUGCUACAAAACCCCGACCGCCCGCUGUGGAAAAUUCCCUGAACCCAAAUGUGACAGACAGCCUUAAGAGACAGAAGCGUGGUGAGAGAAGUAGGGGCUGGUUGUGAAAAAAAAGCAAGCCUACUGUGUGUGACACAUGACAUUCAAAGAUAGAGAAUAGGAGAAGAAAAAUGGAAAAUGCCACAGACAGGAUAAAGAAAAGACAUAGGAAGAAUGGAAACUACUGAUUGCUGGUUUUGUCUCUACUGUUCCAUAUUCUACUUUGUUUCUCGUAAGACCAAGAAAAGACCUUU